rnacentral:lncRNA from 1 species
CCCCUAUUCCCACUGAUUAGUACUUGCAUAAGUGGGCUGUCGAUUAUUGUUACAAUGUCCGUUGGUGCGUGUGCUUUGGCGCCAUUGUGGAUUGUGCAAAUGAUUACAGGUCUCAUCCUGUGUGUUUUUAUUUUUAAAUCAGUUAAGAACAAGUCAGUCAACAAAAAAAUCUUGUUUUCAAUGACAGCCUAAGAACAGUGGGCUAACUGCCUUCUUCAAGGGCAGAACAACAGAUUUUACCUUGUCAGCUCAGGGAUUUGAUCUUGCAACCUUUCGGUUAUUUGUGCAACUCUCUAACCACUAGGCUACCUGCCACCCCAGACUCUCUUCAUACCAACGUGACAGAAUAAUCGACCAUUAAGGAAGACAGCGGGAAUGGCCUGUCCAACAAUGCUACGACUGGUCUGUCCAGCACCGACGCAACUUCAGCAGCUGCAACUGGCCUUCCGACGCCUUCACAACCGGUCCAUCCGACGCCACUGCAACUGGUCCAUCCGACACCGCUGCAACUUCGGCAGAGGCAACUGGCCGGUCCAACGACGCAACUUCGGCAGCUGCAUCAGGUCCUGAUUGACCGCACUGCGUUCCAGUGAUCGCCCUCGAAGCCGGUGUAGGACGCGUAUUGUCACGGAUCCCUCCAGAACUGUCAUUAGGCACACCUGUCCACUAUUCCCACUGAUUAGUACUUGUAUAAGUGUGCCCUUUGGUUUCCAUUGGGCUGUCGUUUAUUGUUACAAUGUCCGUUGGUGCGAGUGAGUAACUGUGCUGUGUGAUGUGGAGUUCGCAGAUGAUUACGGGUCUCAUCCCGUGUGUUAAUCAUUGUGCGCAUGCCAUUUAUUCAAGGUACUCCUCGCUCUUUUGUUUGGGUUUCAACCCCCUGUUUUUGUAUAGUGUCUGUUCGGUCUUCGUCCCCGUGCCUUUACAUGGCACGCAGUAAUUUGGGUGAAAUAAAAACCCAUAUUACGCAUUCCUGCUCCUGUCUCCUGAAUCUCUUCUUACAAACGUGACAAUUAUGAUGAAUGGUAUUUCCAUUCUCUCACUUUUUAGCAAUCAACCAACAUCAAUCAAAACAUUGAGAAAUUGGAAAGAAGAUGAAAUUGGGGAGAUGAGAGAAGAACAUGAAAGAAAAGGGGACCAAAAUAAACCUCCAC